ensembl:lncRNA
UACAGUGCACAAAAAGACUACAGAUUCGAAAUAUAUCGCAGUGGUGAAUAUCAGUGUUCUGGUAGAUGGAAGGAGUCAGAUUAUACAAAGAACAGUAAUACUGUCUUUAUAAGUGUAUUAGAAUAUAGACCCUGGGCCACACUGACAGCAGGAACAACAAUCAUACCAGUAGGGGGCAGUGUGACACUGACCUGCUCUGUGCAGAGCUCUGAUGGAUGGAAAUAUGAGUGGUUCAGACGAACCCAAACAACCUCUGAAGUUCAAAUCAGAGAUCAACAAAACAGAGAUAUCAGAGUAUCUCAAGGAGGAAUCUACAGCUGCAGAGGAACAAGAGGAAACCCAGUUUACUACACUGAUAUAAGUGAUCAUGUCACCAUUGAGAAAACCAUUUCCAAUAAAGUUGUUGUAAAACAACAACCCAACUGGCCUCAGAUAUUCUGAGACGAUCGAGGUGAGACGAUCACUCUGACAUGUGAGGUGCAGGAAGGAGGUGAAACCACUGAGUGGGAGUAUGAAUGGAGAGGACCCAGGACACCCACACAGUGGACACACAAUAACGAUGUGACAUUCAGAGUUUCUGAGUCCAGCAGUGGAG